CCGAACCGACUAAUGUUGAAAAAUUAGCGGAUGACCUGUGGCUGGGGGUGAAAGGCCAAUCAAACCGGGAGAUAGCUGGUUCUCCCCGAAAGCUAUUUAGGUAGCGCCUCGUGAAUUCAUCUCCGGGGGUAGAGCACUGUUUCGGCUAGGGGGCCAUCCCGGCUUACCAACCCGAUGCAAACUGCGAAUACCGGAGAAUGUUAUCACGGGAGACACACGGCGGGUGCUAACGUCCGUCGUGAAGAGGGAAACAACCCAGACCGCCAGCUAAGGUCCCAAAGUCAUGGUUAAGUGGGAAACGAUGUGGGAAGGCCCAGACAGCCAGGAUGUUGGCUUAGAAGCAGCCAUCAUUUAAAGAAAGCGUAAUAGCUCACUGGUCGAGUCGGCCUGCGCGGAAGAUGUAACGGGGCUAAACCAUGCACCGAAGCUGCGGCAGCGACACUGUGUGUUGUUGGGUAGGG
rnacentral:rRNA from 3 species